rnacentral:rRNA from 1 species
UGGGGAAUUUUGGACAAUGGGGGAAACCCUGAUCCAGCCAUCCCGCGUGUGCGAUGAAGGCCUUCGGGUUGUAAAGCACUUUUGGCAGGAAAGAAACGUCAUGGGUUAAUACCCCGUGAAACUGACGGUACCUGCAGAAUAAGCACCGGCUAACUACGUGCCAGCAGCCGCGGUAAUGCGUAGGGUGCAAGCGUUAAUCGGAAUUACUGGGCGUAAAGCGUGCGCAGGCGGUUCGGAAAGAAAGAUGUGAAAUCCCAGAGCUCAACUUUGGAACUGCAUUUUUAACUACCGGGCUAGAGUGUGUCAGAGGGAGGUGGAAUUCCGCGUGUAGCAGUGAAAUGCGUAGAUAUGCGGAGGAACACCGAUGGCGAAGGCAGCCUCCUGGGAUAACACUGACGCUCAUGCACGAAAGCGUGGGGAGCAAACAGG